CCUACGGGAGGCUGCAGUGGGGAAUAUUGCACAAUGGGGGAAACCCUGAUGCAGCGACGCCGCGUGGGUGAAGAAGUAUUUCGGUAUGUAAAGCUCUGUCAGCAGGGAAGAAAAUGACGGUACCUGACCAAGAAGCCCCGGCUAACUACGUGCCAGCAGCCGCGGUAAUACGUAGGGGGCAAGCGUUAUCCGGAUUUACUGGGUGUAAAGGGAGCGUAGACGGCAGGGCAAGUCUGGAGUGAAAGCCCAUGGCUCAACCACGGAACUGCUUUGGAAACUGUGCGGCUGGAGUGCAGGAGGGGUAAGCGGAAUUCCUAGUGUAGCGGUGAAAUGCGUAGAUAUUAGGAGGAACACCAGUGGCGAAGGCGGCUUACUGGACUGUAACUGACGUUGAGGCUCGAAGGCGUGGGGAGCAAACAGGAUUAGAUACCCCGGUAGUC
rnacentral:rRNA from 1 species